GCACAGCUGUGGUGGAUAGGAAAUGCUUUGCUGCAGGGGCUUGAGCUACCUGGAACAUGUCCACUGUGGGCUGAGACUCCCUUGAAUUUGCAGUGACUUAUUAUGGAACCGUGUGAAAAGGGUUUUGCACAUAUUGCAAAACCAGUGAAUCCUGGCUCUCCAAAGCACCCAAGAGGGUUGAUUAGCGAGACAGAAUUAAGCUGCAAAAUUUGGAUCCAAACCCAGAUUUCAACCCCCCUAAGCUCGGCGGUGUUCACCGCUUGCAGUCGCUUUGGCUCUUCUUUGAUCACUCAACAGGCUCUGCGAUUUCUCGUAUUUUAAGUCCUGUGGGAUGGAACUGGUGGUGUGGACAGUGCUCCACUGUCUUGGAGCUGGAAAUGCUGACCCUGCACUAUCAGCACUGACUGUAACUCUGCACUGAAGAAUGAGGUCCACCAGCAUUGUUUGCUUUGGCCCAUAUAUGUUGUAUACUGCCUCGGUUUAACUGGUU